rnacentral:lncRNA from 1 species
CCAUGCCCGGCUUACAUUAUCCUUCAGUGUGACUGGUAGAAGUUCCUCUAGGACAGGGUUAAGGUACCACAGAAUGGACACCAGCAUUGGAUGGACAUUUGUGCUGUUUCCCUCUGCUGCAUCACGGACACCAGAGACUCUUUGCUGUUUGUUUUUCGAGGCAGGAUCUCACGGUGUACCCAAGACUGGCUUCAAACUUUCCAACCUCCUGCCUCCGUCUCCAGACUACUGAGAUUACAGGUUCAGAGAGAGCUCCACAGAGGAGGGGCAGGAAUAUGGGCGCCACUGUUGACCUCUGCAGAGGAGCCAGCAGCAGCCGCAGAAAAGAAAACGCAGGACCAGCUGGAAGACCUGCCAUGUCGGGCAUGCAGGCUCAAGGAUGACUCUACAGGCCGGGCAGUCCUCCACAGACCCUGGAAUCUGCUUCCUCCCCUUGGACCUGGGAGUUCGUGACUCAGCUGUUUCCUGAUGGCAGUGACCCGCGUCUGAAGUCCAUCGACCUGGGAGCACCUGUGCAACUAUCAAUAGCCAGAGACACCCAAGGUGGAAAUUGUUUCACAACACCUGCACUGAUUAAUUCUUGUUAAUUUGACAAACUACAGUCACGGGGAAGAGGGAACCUCAACUGAGGAGCUGCCUGACAGACUGACCUGUGGGCGUGUCUUGAUUGAAGAUGGAUGUGGACUGUGGCACCACUCGCAGAUGGCCCUGGGUUGUAUAAGCGAGCAAGCUGAGCAAGUUAUGGAGAGCAAGCCAGUAGGCAGUGGUUCCUCUACUGUUCCUGCUUAAGAUUCCUGCCUCGCUUCCCUUGCUCAUGGACUGUGAUGUGGACAUGUAAGCCAACAAACCUUCUCUAAGUCGCUUUUGCUUAUGGUGUUUGUCAUAGCAACAAAGAGCAAACUAGACCGGAACCCAAUAAAACACAAGACCCAAAGUUCCUGGUGGCAAGCCAUUUCUGUUUGCUUGGCACUAGAAGGUUUCCGGGACUCCAGACUUCAGAGGGGAGUGGUGGUACACACCUGUAAUGCAAUCACCGCUCUCCGGAGGGCGAGGCAGGAGCUACAGAGCAAGACCUUUUCGGCUCCCCCCGCCCGAAAGACUUUCAGUGCCUCCAGUGACAGAAUGCUAGACCAGCUGCACCAGGCAGUACCAACAAAGAGGGCUCUCAAGUUCAAGGGUGCACCAGAGACGCCUGGGGGCUUUCAACACUGCAGGCAGUGGUCCCACCCCAGAGUUUCUGGUUAGGUAAGGGCGGG